CCUGGUGUGGGCUGUAAUUAGGUCAGUGUAUGUUAAAGUAGGACUGAGAGAUAAAUAAAGUAGAUUUUCUUCUCUGGAACACACUGCAGUUUAAUUUCACUUCUUCUCUCAUUGUGUGAUGAAGGUGGAUUUAACUUUUAAAGGCAAAGAGACAAUCCUCUGCUAGCAUUAAAUGGAAAGGCUUUGGGAGAAGGGUUGAUUCCAGCUGAUAAAAGGAAAAAAGCUUCCUCUUCCCUCCCCAACAUUGAUAUUCUGGUCAUCAUCAGAAGGAGAAGGGAACAAAAGAUCCACUAUACAGUGCCAAGUAGCAAGAUGUCAAAAAGGACUAAACCAAUCCAGGAAAAGAAACUUGCCAACAUCCUGAAUCAAGAAAGUGGAUCCAUGUGGAGAAGGUCCUACAAAGAUGCCUGAAGAAGCCACAUUACUUCAAAAGAUCCAGAACGAACUUUGGGAUAUAAUGAACUGAACUGAAGGGGGUUAAACAUACUUAUUCUGAAUUUAUACUCUUGUGCCAAAGGGGACUGUCCCCUAAUUGGCAUUUUGUAAAUGUGUCUAUAAAUCAUUUUUGUUUUCUUCUUUUAUUUUCCUUUUUAUCUCUAACUAUAGUAACUUACUCUUAGAAAAUGAAAUAUUGUUUCUACUUUUAGCUAGAUGAUAUUUAGAGAUAUAAGAUAGUUAUAUUUAAAUGUUCCAUUGGGAAGACUAGUCUCAUAAAGGAUCCCAGGGGGAUUGUGUGGAGAGAAGUUCAUCCCCUCCCCUUCCUGAGUUGUUGACCCAGUUCAUCAACAUUCUUCACAUGCCAGUGUUGAGUCUGUGAAAAUCAAUAAAAGAGAGUGGGCAGAGGCCA
rnacentral:lncRNA from 1 species